UACGUAGGGGGCAAGCGUUGUCCGGAUUUAUUGGGCGUAAAGAGCGUGUAGGCGGCUUGGCAAGUCCGCUGUGAAAACUCGAGGCUUAACCUCGAGAGGGCGGUGGAAACUGCCUAGCUAGAGUCCGGAAGAGGAGAGUGGAAUUCCUGGUGUAGCGGUGAAAUGCGCAGAUAUCAGGAAGAACACCCGUGGCGAAGGCGGCUCUCUAGUACGGUACUGACGCUGAGACGCGAAAGCGUGGGGAGCGAACAGG
rnacentral:rRNA from 1 species